UUUUUUCGUCCCUGGAUCCG
rnacentral:piRNA from 1 species